GUGAGUAGUUCAGAGUUUGAUCCUGGCUCAGGAUGAACGCUAGCUACAGGCUUAACACAUGCAAGUCGAGGGGCAGCAUGAAUUUACUUCGGUAGAUUUGAUGGCGACCGGCGCACGGGUGCGUAACGCGUAUCCAACCUUCCCGUUACUCCGGGAUAGCCUUCCGAAAGGGAGAUUAAUACCGGAUGGUGUUUGAAGUCCGCAUGAAAUUCAAACUAAAGAUUUAUCGGUAACGGAUGGGGAUGCGUACCAUUAGAUAGUAGGCGGGGUAACGGCCCACCUAGUCCACGAUGGUUAGGGGUUCUGAGAGGAAGGUCCCCCACACUGGAACUGAGACACGGUCCAG
rnacentral:rRNA from 1 species